AGAGUUUGAUCAUGGCUCAGAUUGAACGCUGGCGGCAUGCCUUACACAUGCAAGUCGAACGGCAGCACGGGUGCUUGCACCUGGUGGCGAGUGGCGAACGGGUGAGUAAUAUAUCGGAACGUACCCUAGAGUGGGGGAUAACGUAGCGAAAGUUACGCUAAUACCGCAUACGAUCUACGGAUGAAAGUGGGGGAUCGCAAGACCUCAUGCUCAUGGAGCGGCCGAUAUCUGAUUAGCUAGUUGGUGGGGUAAAAGCCUACCAAGGCGACGAUCAGUAGCUGGUCUGAGAGGACGACCAGCCACACUGGAACUGAGACACGGUCCAGACUCCUACGGGAGGCAGCAGUGGGGAAUUUUGGACAAUGGGGGCAACCCUGAUCCAGCAAUGCCGCGUGAGUGAAGAAGGCCUUCGGGUUGUAAAGUUCUUUUGUCAGGGAAGAAACGGGAUUUUCUAAUACAAAGUCCUAAUGACGGUACCUGAAGAAUAAGCACCGGCUAACUACGUGCCAGCAGCCGCGGUAAUACGUAGGGUGCAAGCGUUAAUCGGAAUUACUGGGCGUAAAGCGUGCGCAGGCGGUUGUGCAAGACAGAUGUGAAAUCCCCGGGCUCAACCUGGGAAUUGCCUUUGUGACUGCACGGCUAGAGUGUGUCAGAGGGGGGUAGAAUUCCACGUGUAGCAGUGAAAUGCGUAGAGAUGUGGAGGAAUACCGAUGGCGAAGGCAGCCCCCUGGGAUAACACUGACGCUCAUGCACGAAAGCGUGGGGAGCAAACAGGAUUAGAUACCCUGGUAGUCCACGCCCUAAACGAUGUCUACUAGUUGUCGGGUCUUAAUUGACUUGGUAACGCAGCUAACGCGUGAAGUAGACCGCCUGGGGAGUACGGUCGCAAGAUUAAAACUCAAAGGAAUUGACGGGGACCCGCACAAGCGGUGGAUGAUGUGGAUUAAUUCGAUGCAACGCGAAAAACCUUACCUACCCUUGACAUGUACGGAACUUACCAGAGAUGGUUUGGUGCUCGAAAGAGAACCGUAACACAGGUGCUGCAUGGCUGUCGUCAGCUCGUGUCGUGAGAUGUUGGGUUAAGUCCCGCAACGAGCGCAACCCUUGUCAUUAGUUGCUACGAAAGGGCACUCUAAUGAGACUGCCGGUGACAAACCGGAGGAAGGUGGGGAUGACGUCAAGUCCUCAUGGCCCUUAUGGGUAGGGCUUCACACGUCAUACAAUGGUACAUACAGAGGGCCGCCAACCCGCGAGGGGGAGCUAAUCCCAGAAAGUGUAUCGUAGUCCGGAUUGUAGUCUGCAACUCGACUACAUGAAGUUGGAAUCGCUAGUAAUCGCGGAUCAGCAUGUCGCGGUGAAUACGUUCCCGGGUCUUGUACACACCGCCCGUCACACCAUGGGAGCGGGUCUCACCAGAAGUAGGUAGCCUAACCGCAAGGAGGGCGCUUACCACGGUGGGAUUCGUGACUGGGGUGAAGUCGUAACAAGGUA
rnacentral:rRNA from 1 species